CGUAUAUUAAAGUUGUUGCAGUUAAAAAGCUCGUAGUUGGACCUGUGCAUGUCCCUAGGUGUCCAUAUUGUUUGGUACGUUCUAGGGCGUGCAUCCUUGGGUGGAACCUGUGUGGCAUUAGGUUGUCGUGCAGGGGAUGCUCAUCGUUUACUGUGAAAAAAUUAGAGUGUUCAAAGCAGGCUUAUGCCGUUGAAUAUAUUAGCAUGGAGUAAUAAGAUAGGACCUUGGUACUAUUUUGUUGGUUUGCGCGCCGAGGUAAUGAUUAACAGGGACAGUUGGGGG
rnacentral:rRNA from 1 species